rnacentral:rRNA from 1 species
AGAGUUUGAUCCUGGCUCAGAUUGAACGCUGGCGGCAUGCCUUACACAUGCAAGUCGAACGGCAGCACGGGGGCAACCCUGGUGGCGAGUGGCGAACGGGUGAGUAAUACAUCGGAACGUGUCCUGUAGUGGGGGAUAGCCCGGCGAAAGCCGGAUUAAUACCGCAUACGCUCUACGGAGGAAAGGGGGGGAUCUUAGGACCUCCCGCUACAGGGGCGGCCGAUGGCAGAUUAGCUAGUUGGUGGGGUAAAGGCCUACCAAGGCGACGAUCUGUAGCUGGUCUGAGAGGACGACCAGCCACACUGGGACUGAGACACGGCCCAGACUCCUACGGGAGGCAGCAGUGGGGAAUUUUGGACAAUGGGGGCAACCCUGAUCCAGCAAUGCCGCGUGUGUGAAGAAGGCCUUCGGGUUGUAA